rnacentral:rRNA from 1 species
UACGGGGGGGGCAAGCGUUGUUCGGAUUUACUGGGCGUAAAGCGCAUGUAGGCGGGUCGUUAAGUUGGGGGUGAAAUCCCGAGGCUCAACCUCGGAACUGCCUUCAAAACUGGCGACCUGGAGCGUGAUAGAGGCGAGUGGAAUUCCGAGUGUAGAGGUGAAAUUCGUAGAUAUUCGGAGGAACACCAGUGGCGAAGGCGACUCGCUGGAUCAUUGCUGACGCUGGAGAUGCGAAAGCGUGGGGAGCAAACAGG